rnacentral:rRNA from 1 species
GUAGGGAAUAUUGGGCAAUGGGCGCGAGCCUGACCCAGCCAUGCCGCGUGCCGGAUGAAGGCCUUCUGGGUUGUAAACGGCUUUUCUCAGGGAAGAAAAAGGGGAUGCGUCCCACACUGACGGUACCUGAGGAAUAAGCACCGGCUAACUCCGUGCCAGCAGCCGCGGUAAUACGGAGGGUGCAAGCGUUGUCCGGAUUUAUUGGGUUUAAAGGGUGCGUAGGUGGCCUGUUAAGUCCGGGGUGAAAGCCCACAGCUCAACUGUGGAACUGCCCUGGAUACUGGCGGGCUUGAGUCCAGACGAGGUUGGCGGAAUGGAAGCUGUAGCGGUGAAAUGCAUAGAUAGCUUCCAGAACCCCGAUUGCGUAGGCAGCUGACUAGGCUGGUACUGACACUGAGGCACGAAAGCGUGGGGAGCGAACAGGAUUAGAUACCCCGGUAGUCC